AUCAUUGUACAACUAUAAAUGUAGUAAAUUCUUUGAGUAAUUAAAAAAAAAAAAAGCCUCUGGCCAAGCGAAGAGCUACCAGACUCUUAUCAUUCCACUGCCUCGUUGUAAUUGUUACAGACUUCCUGAGCCCCCCCGCCCCCAACCCCUAGAACCUGGCCUACUCCUUCCUGCUUCCUACUAGGAAAAAUAUGUGCCCCACUCCUCACCCUGCCCCUGGGGGCAUUCUACUUCCCCAAGAAACCCACAAGUAUGUCAUAAGACCCCUCUUCCCCCAACCAAUUAUGAGGUCAGGUCAGUCAGUCUCUCUCCCCUUUGUCUCUGGGCUACAAAAGCAGACAUGAUCAUGAGCUGGAGUUGGGUCUCCCUGAUCAUCAGGAAGCCAUCCUGCUGCCCUAGCAGUCACUCAUCUCAAUAAAAUUAUUUUUCUUUUCACCCCACUAUGAGUCUGGAAAUUCCUUAUUCAACCAUCACCUACAGACGACACCAAUAAUUAGAGAAAUCCCUCUAAGCUUCAGUAUACUCAUGUGUAGAAUUGAUAUGUACUGUGGUACUAUCUACUUUGUUGUUAUGAGGACAAAAGUGAAAUAAGGAGUAAAAAGCUGAAUAACAUAAAGGGUAAAAUGAGACAAUAUUCAUAAAGCACGUGGCCUAGUUCCUGAAAGCAGUAUUAGUUCAUGUUUUCUUUCCUUCCAAACCCUUUAUUUUACAGAGGAAAACACAAAUCUAAAUGUCACAGCUAUUUAAUGGCACACUCAAGACUAUAAUGGAGUGGUCUUGACUGCACUUUGUUACUAAUUACAGUAAAUGCCCUUACCCUCUGUGGGUGAUAGCAGUGCUUCUGCAGUUGUAGAGUCUCUUUAGGUACCUCCUUAGGUACUUUCCUUAGGUACCUCCCUAAGGAAGGGGGUCUUCUUGACCUUCCUCUUGAAAUGUAAGCUGUCUAUUCAGUAGACACCUGCAUUAAUUGCACCAUAAUUACCCUAAGUGUUCCUUUGUUUUCAGGAUUCAUACAGUUUAUACUCAAGGAACAGAAACAAGUACAAUACAAAAAGAUCAGGAGAGGCUGUAGAUUAGCAUAGCAAAUACAACAAAAGAGAUAAAGUGGAAUCGUAAUCAAGAAGAGAGCAGAAAAAAAAAAAAAGGAAAUAGCAAACAAAGUUGGUAAGGCGCUUGGGGUAGGUGUGAACCCAGGUCUUCUGGCUGAUAUACCUGGGCUUCUUCCUCUGACGCUCCACUCAUCCCUGCCUGGAAUUCUGUUUUCUCCUUCCUUUUUCUCCCUGAGUAAGUCUGAAUUACUUCUGUUACUGUCUGAGGCCUUGCAUCUGAGGUCAGGGUUUGUCAACAGGGCUAGAAAGGUACAGAAAAACAGAUGCUAGAAUAUCAGUUAAACACUACACCUACUUCAAAGAUUGACAUCACCCUGUUUUCUUUCACUGUGGGAGGGACAAAUCCAAACUGAGACAGAGACAUUGUUUUCAGAGCAGGCACGAGUACAUAGGAGAAUAUCAGUGCUACCUGCUAGCACAGGAACCACAUCUUUUUAAUCUUCCUUUACUCUGUGCCUAAAACAUAGUAGGUGUUCAAUAUUUACAUGAAAAUUGGUGCUGAUUAUGGGACCUCAAGGCCUCUCCAAUGAGAUAAACUCAAAGAACUUGAGAUAAAAAGUACCAGACCCUUAUUGCCCUUCUGUCCCACUGCAAUUGUUACAAAGUUCUUGAGCUCCUCCUUAGUAACCUGGUCUACUCCUUUCUGCCCCCUUCUAAGAAAGGUAUUUGGCCCAUUCCUCACCCCUACAGGGGACUUAUAUAGCCCCAACAAACCAGCAAGUUUAUCCAAGACCUCUCCUCUCUCCUUUGUCCUUGGGCUAUAAAACAGACAGGACUACAGGCUCAGAGUCUGCUCUCCCUGAUUAUCAGGAAGUCUCCCAGCUGUGCCAGCAAGCAUUUCUUAUCUCAAUAAACUUAUCUUUCUUUUUACCCUGCUCUGUGUCUGGAAAUUCUUUUUCCAACCCAUGCACGGCCACAACACUGCUCUCUUGAGUUUUAAUCUAACCCAGGAGAAUGAGUUCAUAGUGAAGCAAUUUCUGUAACAUAACUUCUUGAUAUAGCUUGCUUAUUUAUUUAAGACUCAGCCUAUCAAGGAGUAACUAUUUUACUGAUCCCACUUUAUAGAAGAGAACAUUGAGUCAGAGUUGAAGGUCUGCCAAUGCUCACUCAACUAGAAUGCAGUAAAAAAUCUGGUGUUUCAUAUCAGAUUUAUGAGAGCUUUACAAUUAUAACCAGAGCUAGGGCCAGAGCCCAGGUGUUCCAUUCCAUUAACAAGCAAAAAACUAGUAAUAGGUAAUUAAAGCAGAAAGAUGCACAAAGCUUUAAUGCUUUGUUCCAAGCAUUUUAGAGCAAUACACUAAAGUGGGACCUAGACAGCCUUUGUCAUUUUACUUUAGCUGAGAAAUGAACAUUUGAUUACAAAGCCUCUCAGGAGUGCAGAGAUAAAUGCACGGUUGUUAAAUAUUAACAUUAACAUCUAAAGACUUGUGUUUUUUUUUUCUUUGUGGAACUAAAGCCCUUUUUACUUCCCUCCACAGGCCAUGAGCACCAAUAGACCAGCACUGGCUUAGGAGUAUAUCUGUUUUACAUCCAGAUGAACAUUAAUCUCUAACCCACCCCUCAACUGAUAGAAAAGGAAUGAGAGGAAUGGUGACUCCCAGCGACUCCCAGUCUAGAGAAAAGAAGAACAAAGAAACCCUAAAGCUUAGGGGGCAUGUGCACCUCUAAGACCCCUAUUGGUGACAAGGACUGAUAUAGGUAAGGCCAAUGGGAAAAAGAACUGAUAGCAGGACCCCAUGUUGGAACUCCUGUCUUUAAGAGAUUAAAAACCUCCAAAGAAUAGAAAGUGGGACUCUUCUUCCCCCUCCCAGUGUCUGUACUGGAAGCUAUUUGCUUUCCUGUAAUAAAGACUUUUGCUUGCUUGC